GGGGGAAUUCUUCCAACAGCCUCAGAAUGUCCGUUUUUCCCCAUUGGGCUUAAGAGGGAAGUUGAGAGAGGGCUUCCGGUAAGAGGCAGGUAGUAGGGUUAGUUCCUGCUGAUCAACAGAGCAAAAUAAACAAGAAGCAGGGGAUUUGGGAACUUCUUUCACAAAGGGCUGAAAGAACACAUGGAGGAAAAACAUGAAACUUCCAAGGUGAGUACAGUCCUAUGAGCAAAAACUGCAGACAUCUUUGAGCGAUAGAAGAGACAACUGGGCCUGGGGGCCAGUUCAGUGCGGACCUACAUUUCAACCACCAUGAUGAAGGUGAAGCAAGAUAACUCAGUUGGAACUUCGGAUCCUCCUAGCCGAUCAGAAGACUAGAGAGGAAAAACAAACUUAGAUGACUCCUCCUCCAGCAUAUCUAAGGGGGACAAAAGCCAUACUGGCCAUGGGGAGACCCUGGAUGAGUGUUGAUACCAAGCUGACCUGAAUUCCAGGCUCAAGUUGUAGAUGAGAGCUGUAUGUGGUGCCCUGUGGAUGGUGCAGGUGAGACGUCCAAAGACAGCAUCGCUCACACUGCUCAGGAUGGAUGAGGUACUGAAGGAGGCCAGAUUGGAGGAGCCAGCCUGGGCAGGGCUGUGGCUGCUUCAGGGCAAGUUCUGGAGACUGUGAAGUCCAAGAUCAAGGCCCCAGAAGAUUUGGUGUCUAGCAGAUCCGGUCUCUGCUUCCAAAAUGGUGUCUUGAAUGCUGUGUCCUCUGGAUGAGAUGAACACUGAGUCAUCAUAUGGGAGAAGAUACUCAGCACAGCCAUGGUAAAACCUGUCUCUUUCGUGUGGAUCUUGAUGCCCUGCUCACCUUAGAGGCAUAUAACUUGAAGGGUGAAAUUGGUACCUGGACCACUCAUUCUACACAAUCACCAGUCUACGGUGUAAGGGGCUUUUACUCCACAGACAUUUACAGAACAGUGGCUGUCAUCCUGGAUGAAUGUGGGAAACUAUAAAUACAGUCUGGGUAUAGGGUAGACAUUCAAUAAAUCCUGAGUUAGUAGGGAGGAUACUAUCCCAGCCUGAGAAGCCCUGUUGUGAGCCAUGUGGUUGAGACAGAGCUGUUAAUGGUUCUGUCUUCAGGGAAAUUAUGCUCCAUUAGGAACUGAGACCCUAGCAGCUAUAAUAUCAUUGCAUUCUUAGAAAGUGAGGACUUCUGGAAGGGCAUGCACAGUGAGCCAGGAAUUGAGAGGUGAUAAAGCCUAUUAAUUUCUGCCUGGGUUAAUUAGGAAAAGAUCCUUGGAGCUGGGUUUUAACAUUUGGGAGGAAUUUCAAAGAGAAAGGUGAUAGUGAGAAACAGAAGAGGCCUCUUUCCAGAAGGGAGCCUCCUUUUGGUCUUUGGCCUAGUUCCCUUCCAACCAAAACCAUGGUAGGUCAAGUUGGCCUAGAAAGAGAAGGUGCUUUCUAGUCUCUGGGAGUCUUGGGGGUCUCACCCAUUUGUUUUCCAUCUGCUCAGUAGGGGCGAGAGUCGUCUGUGGUGUGUACUGGGAGAUAGAAAAGAUGGGCCUGGGAGUGUCCUCUGAGCUCCACAAUGUUUUGAGUUCCUAUGUUUUUGUUGAGGAAACUGGGGCAUGGAAAAUGGGCUCCUUUUAAGCACAAAAAGUCUUAAAAAUGGAAUUUACUUAGUUAAAAUGCAAUCUAAAAGAAAUAAGAAUGAGGCAUCUCCUUUUUCCAAGUCAUUGCUUUUCCCCCACACCUGUCUCCACCUCACAGGGCACCUCCACCCUUGGCCUUGCAACGCGCCAGGCUGGGCAUCAAGCCAGCCUUUCUUCGAUGAAAUCGAGGCUGCCAGAUCACCCCGCCCACUACUGUUCCGUUAGCCUGAGGUCCCACCCUCCCCUCUCCGGGGAGACACAAAAGGCUUCUGUGACUCAAGCAAAAGCUCACAAUCCUUCUCUUUCUUUCUAGCAACACAGAGUGAGGCUGUGGGGUGGAUUUCUCGGUGGUAACCCUUGCCCGACUUGCUAUGCAGUGACCGGUGUGUAGGUUGCUCCUUCUCUGCUCCUGGGGCAACUCUGUAGACCUACACACUUACUGUCCUCCAUGAUAGACCCAUUUGCAGAGAUUUCAAGGGUCCCCGUUUGGUUCCAGCUAAACUUGAGAAGGGUCAGGGUGGUCUGGGGAGGAACUGAUGUUUAUCAAGUACCCAGGAUAUACUGGAUAUGAUGUGAAUUGUUUUGUACGUGGAUUCCAUGUAAAUCUGCAUGUUGAUCCUAGAAGGUGUUCUUAACUCAAUUUUACAGAGCAAAUGACAGCAAUCGGAGAAGCUAGAUAACUUGUUCAAGGUUAUGUAACUGCUAAGUUAUUGUUGUAAGAUUUGAGUCUAGAACAGGCUGUUGGGAAAGCCUGAGUUUUUCUGAUAUGGUUUGUUACUUAGGGUUUGAAUCAGGCUGUUGGGUUUUUCUGUUAUAGUUUGUUACUUAGGGUUUGAAUCAACUGACCCUGUCUCUAUCAGAUCAAGAGGUAUGAGAAACAUCGUCUGUCUUCUCCUCCUUGUCUUCUACCCCUAAGCAUCCUAGGUCUGCUAUCAAAACUCCCGUUCACUUCAGACAAUGACGUAGUCUGGUUUUGUGGGUAGCGAGAUGGGGGAGGUGGGGGAGCAGCAUUUGUGGGGGUGGAGGGAGGGCAAUAGAGUACAGAAGAACAGAUUUCUAGUUUUGCCUCUGUCACUAACUGAGCCAUGUUGAGUGCAUCUUUCCCAAUCUCCAGGCUUCAUUUUUUCUGCCUGUAAAACACAGAUGCAUAACUUAGUUGUUAAGCACACAGACAAAAGACAGACUGGCUCUACCCAAACUCUGCUGCUCACUAGCCCUGUGACCUUGGAAACAUUUCUCAUCUCUAAAAUAGAGAUCAUCACUUCAUGGGACUGUGAUGAGAGUGAAAGAAGUUAAUACACGUAACACUCUUAGGAGAGUAUCUGGUGUAGGUGUUUUACGAGUAUUGCUGUCGUUAUUCUUCUUAAACGUGUAAUUAAUGAAAUUCUAGUAAUUUCAAAUAAAUAUAUGGGAAAUAACACAG